CAAGGUGUGAACGUGCGCCGCAAAACUCGUCAGAGAGCUAAAAGGGCGCUUUAUACGUUAAUUUUGGAUCUUUGCCCGUCUAAACUCUUAAUCCAGGCGCCGGGCGCCUCCGCCCUCCCCAGCGGCUCCGGCGGGACUCCGGCCGCGGCGGAACCCGGCCCGCGGGAGGCUCCCGGCCGCGGCGGGCGCACGCCUCUCCUGCGGAGCGCUCUCGCGGAGCGGCGCUGCCGCCAGCCCGGCUCCACGGCGGCCCCGCGGGCGCGGAAGCGGCACGCAGCCCCCCGAGCAGCAGCGUUUGGGGUUCCCUUCUUCCCUCCCUUCAGCGAUCCCAAACUCCGUUCCAACGCGUUUAUUUCCUCCUGCGUCCCAAGCCAGCUUCCUGCCCGCGCUGCCACCGCUUCUCCCCAGCAUCCCGCCCGCCCCGCCGCUCCGUGCCGCCGGUUCACGGGCGGCCCGGGACGGUGGCGGCGGGGGCGGUGGGCGGCCCGCGGGAGGCCCCGAUUGGCGCAGCCGGCGCACGUGGGGCCGCCCUCCCGCCUCGGCUCUGGCAGCGCGGCCGCCGCCGCGGGGCACGGCACGGCAGGGCGGGAGAGCGCACCGUGCUCCGCUCCGCGCGGGUCUCCGCGUACCGCACGCGGCGCUGCGGCGAGGAGGGGAGCGAGAGGACUCAAACCGAGCCUGCGGAAAGGAUGUUUCAGGAGUAACCUUGACAGUCCAGUGAAACGGCCACCACCACCCUCCUCGCCUUCUGUUUGAGCCAGCUUUGCUAAUGGAAAAGUAAAAUCUACAAUAGCUGUCGUCAUUAUCCACUUGUCUUGUGCUGAUGCUGAUGAAAUCUGAAGUUCAAGAAAAUAUUUAACAUUAUUUAGAGAAAUGUGUUAUUCUUUUUUCAUCAUAUUUUGCCCUCUGUCAAACAGAGGAGCUUAUGUUUAAGGAAUUACAUCACUUUGCAAAUCCCUCUAUCUUUCUCUAAAAAUAAACUGUCUUUUAGGAUGUCUUUAACUUGGCUGUUUUCCUUUUGUGAGUCAGAGCUAGUGUUACU
rnacentral:lncRNA from 1 species